CAGUGGUACUUUAAACAUAUGAGUGGCAAUCUCUUACAUCCCCAUCUUCAAUGCAUGAAGGUCUUAAGACACAAACCUGUUGUAUGUGCAUAGGCUCCUUGGCCAAGUUAGAACCCUGAUCACGUAAAACAUCUAGGAACCUACAAGCCUAAAGCAGGCUCCCUGCUUAAGACCUUUCCUGCAAUGUGUAGGGUGGGGGAAAGCAGCAAGCACAAGAGCAGGGCCAACCGCUGUUCAUAUGAUGGCAACCAUGUGCAUCUGAGUGCCUUAGUGGGGCUAUUGCUUCAUCCAAGGAAAUAUACACAACUACACUCUUUAAUUGUGCCACUCACUUCAAGAAUGGUGGCUGGUAUUCCACUGUAUUCUGCCAACGGAGCAAAUGUAAGCAUACUGUGGCCAUAGCCACUAAUGCUUCCUUGUCUAGCAAAGGAUUACGAAGAUGUGUAGCAGCCAUUACACCUCGCAGUGUAUCUCCAGUGGGUGCACGUACUCAUACUGCUCCAUGGGUUUGCAAGCUACCUUUAAUCAGGCUCUGACGGGAAGUAUUUAAAUACCCAAUGUGGUAUAAUGGUUAGCAUAUUGCACUAGGACCAGGAUUCAAAAUCCCACUCAGGCAUGAUGCUCACCAUCUUUCUUAGCCUCACCUACCUCACAGGGUUGUUGUGAGGAUAAAACUGGGGGGGGGGGGGGAGAGAAGCAUAUACGCCACCUUCAGCUCCCUGGAGGAAAAGAGGGGUAUAAAUAUAACAAGAAAUUAAGUAAAUGAAAAUGUAAGUGGAUUUCACACAACGUAGCAGCUGGUUAUCGGAAUGAGAUACUGUCUCCCUCAAUGCUCACUUGCAAAUCUGGGCUUUGGUUCAUUCUUUCAAUCAAGAGUGCAUCAGUAGGUGAUGGUAGCAGGACCCACAGAAGAGGCUGAUGUGAUGUCUUUAUGAUGUCAGGUAACAGGGCCAGUAACACAAAUAAACAUCUCCACACUGUUUUUAGAAAAGCACUCUCUUAAAGCCUAGAGAAGCAUUUUUAGAACUCCAGUGGCAGAGCAUACUAAAACUGGAUUGCUCUUUCAAGGGUUUUUAUGAGGAUGGGCCUCAUUUUAAAGCCACUGAGACUACCAGAGCGAAGCCAUGUUUUAGGUAUGGUACCCAUUGAUCCAAAGGGUUUGUGCAUUAUUUUGCUUGAAAAGCUGUGUUUUAUACCCAAGUAAUGGAGAGGGGAAGGCAUAGUAUUGCAUUAAAGUGACAUAGCCUAAUGCUGCAUUACCAAAUAAGUGUUUAGGUUGGGGAUUUUAAGCAUUGUGUUAAUCAAAUAUCAUAAUCCAUGUGGAUAUUGCAAUGUCAAUACUAUCAGUUCCACAAUAGACCAAUACACUGCUACACAUUUCUGUCCCAAAUGCUUAUUUUGAGAUCUUCUAGGCAAGCAAAUCCAAGUAGGACUGGUACCUUAGUGGCAGUCUUUGUGACACACAGCAUCAGUAUAUUGUUGUAUCUUUCAGCAAAACAGAUUUUCAUUCAUUUUUAAAGUUACAGUACCUUCAAAAAUUUCAGAUGUACAGUAAAAUACAUUUUUGUUAAAUAAUAAUAAUAAUAACCUUAGUAUUUAUAUUAUGUUCUCUGACCUGAACUCCUAAUUAGACUUUUGACUGGGUUUGAUCUUCCCCCAUUUGUAUAAAGGUUCACACCAAUUCAAACACACAAUUAUUUGUUGUGUUUCUAUAAUCUAUGUGUCUUAGGGGAGGAAAUAAACACAGUAGCAUGGAUUUGUUACUUCACUAUCAAGUUUUCUAUUUCAUAAAGCAGAUAGUAUAUAAAAAUGAAUUAUGAAAACAGAACUUUCACAUUACCUUCAAAUAAGUUAACUUUCAGUCACAUUUCCGGUUUCAAAUUUGGGUUUGCUAAAAUCAUACUAUUAUGAAGUGGAGGCGCAGAAGGGGGAAAAAUUGCACUGACAGGAACAGAAUGUUAAAUGCCAAAUGUAACACACUUAACAGUGCAACCUUGUCUACUCAGAACUAAACCAGUUCAGUGGGAUUGACUCCCAGGUUAAGACUGCAACUUACUUGGUAAUAAGCCCUAUUGAACUUAGUGGGGCUUACUUCUGAGUAGACAGAUAUAGGAUUGCACUGUAAGUAACUAAAUGUUUUUGCUUUGUGUUUUUUUUUAUAUGCACUACAGAAUAACAGUAUUAUGAUAUUUUGGUGCUAGCAUUUAACUACUGUUGUAUGAAGUCCGCAGAACAAACAACUACUCAAAUUUCAUUGUAAAAAUACAGUAAUUAUUUAGUUCUGGUUUUAAGAAACAUGGAAAAAUAAAAUGAGAAAAUACCAGG